rnacentral:rRNA from 1 species
UACGUAGGGUGCAAGCGUUGUCCGGAAUUAUUGGGCGUAAAGAGCUUGUAGGCGGUUUGGCGCGUCUGCUGUGAAAUUUCGGGGCUCAACCCCGAACUUGCAGUGGGUACGGGCAGACUAGAGUGUGGUAGGGGAGACUGGAAUUCCUGGUGUAGCGGUGAAAUGCGCAGAUAUCAGGAGGAACACCGAUGGCGAAGGCAGGUCUCUGGGCCAUAACUGACGCUGAGGAGCGAAAGCCAGGGGAGCAAACGGG